rnacentral:rRNA from 1 species
UACGAAGGGGGCUAGCGUUGCUCGGAUUGACUGGGCGUAAAGGGCGCGUAGGCGGUUCGUACAGUCAGACGUGAAAUUCCUGGGCUCAACCUGGGGGCUGCGUUUGAUACGUGCGGACUUGAGUGCGGAAGAGGGUCGUGGAAUUCCCAGUGUAGAGGUGAAAUUCGUAGAUAUUGGGAAGAACACCGGUGGCGAAGGCGGCAUCCUGGACCGGCAUUGACGCUGAGGCGCGAAAGCCAGGGGAGCAAACGGG